CUUUUUUUAAAAGAUGCUGUGUACAUGUGUUACUGUAUGUGCAUGACACCAAAUCAUAAAACCGUAACAGCAUCACUUUCCUCAGAACAUUUUCAUUUAAAACAAGAGAAAAAAACUAGCAGAAGAAGAGAGAGAGAGAGAGAGCAUCAAAUGCUUUAGUUAUGGAGUUGAUUCCUUUUACUUUCUCUUCAACUCCCUUUAUUAAUAUUUUCAUCCUUUCAAGUUUUCCUUUUCUCUUCAUUGGUUAUUUGGGAUAAGAUUUGAGAAGGACUCAUAAAUUGAUUGUGGGGUUUUUGCUGGAUUCUAGCUAGAAUAUUUCAGAUUGCUCUGAGAAAUUGAAAGGGAAGAAAUUAAGCGAAGAAGAAGAAGAUUGAUCAGAAAGAGAUGGCUGCGUCUUCUUCAUCGGGCGCACCGCUUUUCGGAAUUAGAGAAGAAGAUCAAAACCAGCAGAUGAGGCAACAACAUUCCUCCACAACACCAACCUCAUCCAUAGCUGCACCAGCUGCUCCACCUCAGAAGAAAAAGAGAAACCAACCUGGAACACCAAAUCCAGAAGCAGAAGUGGUAGCAUUAUCUCCCAAGACCCUAAUGGCAACAAACAGGUUCAUAUGUGAGGUGUGCAACAAAGGGUUCCAAAGGGAGCAGAACCUACAGCUCCACAGAAGAGGACACAACCUGCCUUGGAAGCUCAAGCAGAAGACUACAAAAGAACCCAAACGCAAAGUCUAUCUCUGCCCGGAGCCCACAUGCGUCCACCACGACCCCUCUCGGGCACUCGGCGACCUCACCGGCAUAAAAAAGCACUACUUUAGAAAACACGGCGAGAAAAAAUGGAAGUGCGAGAAGUGCUCGAAGAGGUACGCCGUCCAGUCCGAUUGGAAGGCACAUUCUAAGACUUGUGGCACUCGGGAAUACAGAUGUGACUGUGGCACUCUCUUCUCAAGGCGCGACAGCUUUAUCACGCAUAGGGCAUUCUGCGAUGCCCUGGCUCAGGAAAGUGCAAGGCAUCCACCCAGUUUGACCACCAUUGGCAGCAGCUUAUACGGAGGAGGAAGCCUCAGCAACACUGGCCUCGGCUUAUCCCAUCAAGUUGUGGGCCCUCCCCAUCAACUGUCCUCACUCGACCACAGCAAUCAACCCAGUGACAUCCUAAGGCUUGGCGGAUCUUCAGGUGCUGCUGCUGCCGAUCGGGCCGGACAAUUCGAUCACCUCCUCUCAUCCCCUUCAAUGGGAUCAUCUUUCCGACCGGCUCAGUCGUCAGCAGCAUCUUUCUUCAUGACUGGAGCCUCUGAUCAUGACCAGUCCAACCAACAACAAUACCAUGACCAGGACAAGUCAUUUCAUGGACUCAUGCAGUUUACACACCACUCGCCACAUCAGCAUCACUCCGGAGCAGGAACCAAUCUUUUUAACCUACCUUUCGUUUCCAACAGCAACACCAACAGUACUAAUAGCAACAGUGCCAACAACAGCAAUUCACUAAUUAGUCCCAACCAUUUCAACACCAAUGCAAACGGCAGCGCCAGCGCCACCGGAGGUGGCAAUGAAGUCUCGAAUAAUCUCUUUGCCGGACACAUAAUGGGUGGCGGCGAUCACAUGAGCUCUGGAGUCCCUUCUCUCUAUAGCAACAAUGGCAAUAGUCAGCAGCAGGCUAUGUCAUCGCACAUGUCCGCAACCGCGCUGCUUCAGAAGGCUGCUCAAAUGGGAUCCAACACUUCAAACAACAACACCACCACCUCGCUCCUCCGUAGCUUUGGAAGCUCCUCCUUGACCACUACAAAACCUGAUAGGCCCGGGAUCCUAGUUCCUUCCAGCUUAGGUAGGAUGUUCGGAAGUGACCAAACCGACCAGAGCCACCUCCAAGACCUAAUGAACUCGUUUGCUAGCGGAGGGGGAGGCUCAUCGAUUUUCGGAAACGCGGCGUUUGGUGGAUAUGAUGCAUCGGCAAAUAGGGCAAUUAACAUGGAGGAUGCAAAGUUGCAGCAGCAGCAGCAGCAGCAUAUAGGGUUGAACAAUAUUGGAGGAGGUUCGGAUAGGUUAACGAGGGACUUUCUUGGGGUUGGACAAGUAGUGAGGAGCAUGAGCGGUGGAUUUUCUCAUCAGAGAUCAGAGCAGCAGCAUGGCGGCAUGGAGAUGCUGAGCUCCUUGGAUUCAGAGAGCACUGCUGCAGCAGCUGCGCCGUCAACCCAAUCUUUUGGAGGAGGCGGGAAUUUUCAGUGAACAGAAAAGUACAGAGAUGGUGAGAGAAAUAGAGAGAGAGUCACGAGUGCUGAACUUGUAAAGGAAUAUAACUUGUUUCGGACUAAAGCCAUAUGCAUCCUAAACACCGUGAAGCUCUGGCUAUAUGAGACCAAGGAGAUCAGUGCAGAUUAAUUAAUGGUGUUUGAGCAGUCUUUUUUUUUUUUUUUUUUUUUUCGUUCAAGCCUCAAAAGGUGUAUUGGGGGCCGGGAGUUUAAUUUUCAAAGUCAAAGAAGGCUUAGAACUUUUUCGUAGUUUAAAUUUAAAUGACUAGCUAGUCGACAGUUUGUUCUGUUUCAUGUUUAACUGAUGUUCCUUUAUAUAUUAGCAUUUCAAUAAAAUUGAAAUCCAUAGAAACUUUCGUGAA